AAAAGCUCGUAGUUGGAUCUCAGCUCCGGCCGGACGGUCCGCCUACCGGUGGUUACUGUUCGCUGCCGAGCGUUCCGGUGGUUAUCUUCGAUGAUCUUUACCGGUUGUCUUGGGUGACCGCCAAGUUUACUUUGAAAAAAUUAGAGUGCUCAAAGCAGGCGCGACGCCUGAAUAAUUGUGCAUGGAAUAAUGGAAUAGGACCUCGGUUCUAUUUUGUUGGUUUUCGGAACACGAGGUAAUGAUUAAGAGGGACAGACGGGGGCAUUCGUAUUGCGACGCUAGAGGUGAAAUUCUUGGACCGUCGCAAGAGCCAAGAAUGUUUCCAUUAAUCAAGAACGAAAGUUAGAGGUUCGAAGACGAUCAGAUACCGUCCUAGUUCUAACCAUAAACGAUGCCAGCCAGCGAUCCGGCUGUGUUCCUCAAAUGACACGCCGGGCAGCUUCCGGGAAACCAAAGCUUAUGGGUUCCGGGGGAAGUAUGGUUGCAAAGCUGAAACUUAAAGGAAUAGACGGAAGGGCACCACCAGGAUUGGAGCCUGCGGCUUAAUUUGACUCAACACGGGGAAACUUACCCGGCCCGGACACAGGAAGGAUUGACAGAUUAAGAGCUCUUUCUUGAUUCUGUGGGUGGUGGUGCAUGGUCGUUCUUAGUUGGUGGGGCGACUUGUCUGGUUAAUUCCGAUAACGAACGAGACUCUAGCCUACUAAAUAGACGUUCCCAUCCUCUUGCGUGGGACGUUCUUCUUAGAGGGACAAGCGGCUUCUAGCCGCACGAGACAGAGCAAUAACAGGUCUUAGAUGCCCUUAGAUGUCCGGGGCCGCACGCGCGCUACAUUGAAGGAUUCAGCGUGUGCUUUCCCUGUCCGAAAGGACUGGGUAACCCGUUGAACCUCCUUCGUGCUGGGGAUUGGCGAAUGUAAUUGACGCCAUGAACGAGGAAUUCCCAGUAAGCAUGAGUCAUCAGCUCGUGCUGAUUACGUCCCUGCCCUUUGUACUCACCGCCCGUCGCUACUACUGAUUGAGUGAUUUAGUGAGGUCUUCGGACUGGCGCUCGGAUUGGCCUUCGCGGUCGAGCCGAUGUGCCGGAAAGAUGACCAAACUUGAUUACUUAGAAGAAGUAAAAGUCGUAACAAGGUUUU
rnacentral:rRNA from 1 species